rnacentral:rRNA from 1 species
UACAGAGGGGGCAAGCGUUAUUCGGAAUUAUUGGGCGUAAAGGGCGCGUAGGCGGCUUGGCAAGUGGAUGGUGAAAUCCCUCGGCUUAACUGAGGAACUGCACGGGAUACUGCGAGACUUGAGAUCGGGGAGAGGGAAGCGGAAUUCCGGGUGUAGCGGUGAAAUGCGGUAGAUAUCCGGAGGAACACCGGUGGCGAAGGCGGCUUCCU